rnacentral:RNase_P_RNA from 1 species
CGAGUCAACUGGGCAGUCGCCGCUUCGUAAGAAGGGGAGGAAAGUCCGGGCUCCAAAGAGCAGAGUGCCAGAUAACGUCUGGGCGGCGUGAGCCGACGGCAAGUGCAGCAGAAAGAUACCGCUUUCUUCUUUUUAAAAGAACGCUGAAGAUCAGGGCAUAGCAGGCUUCUUGCCCGCUAAUUCCGAAUUUAAGCGGUUUAAGCUUCAAAUUCGUUUGGAACUUAAAGGUUAGUAAGGGUGAAAUGGUGCGGUAAGAGCGCACCGCGUUAGUGGUAACACGAGCGGCAAGGUAAACCCCACUCGGAGCAAGACCAAAUAGGUGUUCGUUCUUUGAGCUUAGGCUUGAAGUUAAGGCGUGGCUCGCGUUGAACACGGGUAGGUUGCUUGAGGCAUGCAGCGAUGCAUGUCCUAGAUGAAUGACUGUCCUUGACGGGACCCGGCUUAUAGGUUGACUCAUUUU